rnacentral:lncRNA from 1 species
AUAUAUUUCUUUCGUGCCUUCUCACAUGGUACCAGAGCAGUGGUUGGUGAGACACAUCCGGGAACUAGAAUACAGAGCCAGAAGUCACAGUGCCUCAAUUUUCCGGUGACUUUUCAAGGCUGCCUCGCAUCAUCUCGCUCUCCAUCAGUGUUGUACAAAAUCCAACACUAUCACAAGAUUCGUCAUCGUCCCACGACCAAACCUUAGUGACCACUCCGACAGCAGCCUCCUC